AUUCUGCGCAUGCGCAGGCUGUUUUCGCCCGUAGAAACCCGUGGCCCCGCAGGCGCCCGGGGGCGCUGGUUGGCUGGGGUCUGCGUGUGGCGGGUUGGGCGCUUGAGUGCUGGGGAACACUCGGAAGUCGUUUUAGCCCCCUUCUGUAUUUUCUUUUAUUAUUGAAUCCUAAAACAGCCCGAAGAAGGGGGGGGGGGUGGCGGUAAGGAUUAGGGAUGCUUGCCUCCCAUUCAGAGAUAAGGAAACUGAGGUUCAGAAAGGCUGCCAGACACCAUGAAUCUAUGAGAGCGUCACUUGUUGUCUCUUGCCUCCUUUUCUCUCCCAGCAAAUAUAAUCUGGGGGCACCCGGGCCCCACCAGACCGGCCUCUCUGAUCACACUCAAGGAUUAACAAUCAGCUGUCCUGUGGGCAGAUGCCCUGUCUCCCAUACAGAGGAUCAAAAGGCUGGUUUGAGAAGGGAGUUCGUUUCCUGACCGGCCUCCAGGUCCUGUGAGGUCCAACCACUGACCACUGCUCCCCACUCAGCUGCAGCCACACUGGCCACUUUCUGCUUCUCAAAUAUGCAUGCCUUGUCCUCACCUCUCAUGGGUUGAACUGCAUCUCUCCCCAAAAUAUCUAGAAGCCCUUGGAACCUG